rnacentral:rRNA from 1 species
UACAGAGGGUGCGAGCGUUAAUCGGAAUUACUGGGCGUAAAGCGUGCGUAGACGGCUAUCUAAGUCGGGUGUGAAAGCCCCGGGCUCAACCUGGGAAUUGCAUUCGAGACUGAAUAGCUAGGGUACGGUAGAGGGAAGUGGAAUUUCCGGUGUAGCGGUGAAAUGCGUAGAUAUCGGAAGGAACAUCAGUGGCGAAAGCGACUUCCUGGACCAGUACCGACGGUUCAGGCAC